ensembl:misc_RNA Metazoa_SRP Metazoan signal recognition particle RNA
GCCAGGGGUGGUGGCGGGCACCUGUAAUCCCAGCUACUUGGGAGGCUGAGGCAGGAGAAUCACUUGAACCCAAGAGGUGGUGGUUGCAGUGUGCUGAGAUCAGACCACUGCACUCCAGCUUGGGUAACAGAGUGAGACCCUGUCUCAA